AAGUAGCUAGAGAGAAAAAAUCAAGAGUGAGAAAGUUCUUAGUUUUUCAUAAAAUUCUUAGUUUUCAAAGUUUGUUAGUUCUUCAUAAAAAAAAAAGAGUGUAUAAAAAAGUCUAUAUUAAUUUCUUAGUUCUUCAUUUUUCGGUAGCUGUCAAGUUUUCAGGGGACUCCUGAAAAGGAAACCCCACUUCUUCCUUAAAACAUGUUACAUAUAUAUGAAGAAUUGGAGACAUUAAUUUAGGUAUCAAUGACUAUAUAAUUGGUAACUUGUAGCUUUCAAGAAUAGGAUAUUCUAUGAGUUCACAUAUGAUAGUUUAUCAUUGAACAAGAAGAGUUAAAAAAAACGACAACAUUUGUUGAUGGAGUUCAAGCUAAAUUAUGAUAAGUAGGUGUUUCUUUGUCUUAAUAUGCUUUUCUGUUUGGAAUAGAACUACCGAAAGGUGCCAUGUUACUGGAGCUUAACUUAGCAUGAUUCAAAUUGUAGCACGAUUUCUUCUAUAUAUACACAUAUAAGGGCAUAAGAUAAUUUAUUAUAAUAGAACUCGUAGAUUAUUAAUAUGUGGAUUGAUAAUUCAUGAUCAGUAUUAUGCUAACGCUUAUAUUUAUUAUCAUUAUCUAUUAUUGAUUU